CCUACGGGAGGCAGCAGUGGGGAAUAUUGCACAAUGGGGGAAACCCUGAUGCAGCGACGCCGCGGGAGUGAAGAAGUAUUUCGGUAUGUAAAGCUCUAUCAGCAGGGAAGAAGAAAGACGGUACCUGACUAAGAAGCCCCGGCUAACUACGUGCCAGCAGCCGCGGUAAUACGUAGGGGGCAAGCGUUAUCCGGAUUUACUGGGUGUAAAGGGAGCGUAGACGGCUGUGCAAGUCUGAAGUGAAAGCCCAGGGCUCAACCCUGGGACUGCUUUGGAAACUGUGGAGCUAGAGUGCUGGAGAGGUAAGUGGAAUUCCUAGUGUAGCGGUGAAAUGCGUAGAUAUUAGGAGGAACACCAGUGGCGAAGGCGACUUACUGGACAGUAACUGACGCUGAGGCUCGAAAGCGUGGGGAGCAAACAGGAUUAGAUACCCUAGUAGUC
rnacentral:rRNA from 1 species